CUAAAAAGUAUUUUGAGAAUGAGAGAAGCCUGGAUGUUCUGAGGCCCAGCAGCUGCAGCGGAUGCUGAAAUUGGUCACACAGCCUCGAGUCUCAAGGCCCGGACAGAUGUGUUCUAUACACUUGUUUAAACACGGCGCUCAUUAGGAGGCCUGCUCGGAAGUACACAGCUUCCCGUCAGAGAGCCGCCGAGCUGCCUGGGAGGACGUAUUAAUUGUUGUCAGCCUCCAUUUCACACUCCAGAUAACAAACGAGAGCCACCCUGGCAGUGUUUAAGGAAGAUAAACAAGUUGCCUGAGCCCCUGCAAUUAAACACGCUUGCAUAUUUAACUGAGAUGUUUCCUGUAAAAAAAAAA